GAUAAGCAACACGGGUGCCAGGUAAUGCUCUGUAACCUCUCGGUCCUUCUCGAUCUUUUAGAUGAGUUGGCGAGUAAACCUGUGCUGAGAUUAUACCGUUGAGCGGAUCAGGGUAAUGCCUGCGUCGCUAGUUGCUUGUAAAGAUGU
rnacentral:ncRNA from 1 species